rnacentral:lncRNA from 1 species
GAUGCUUCUUUGAAAAAAGUAUCCAAGUAUGGCAACCCUAAAUCUUGUCUUCCUUUUCUUUCCUUUUUUUUUUUUUUUUUUUUUUUCUUUUCAUUUUUAUAACUCAAGAACCUUGCCUAUUUUCCAUUCUUUUCUAACCAUGCAGCUUAGUCCACUAAGUUUGUUGAGGAAUGGAAUAGAUGUGCAAGCAUCACAAAGAAAAUUUUGGGUGCUUUUUUUGUACUUAACUAACGUUAAAAGUUGAUGAUUCAAAGCAAUGAGUUGAAAAAUAUUAACAGAAGCUUCUCAAAAAUUAAUUUUUUUCAACUUUUUUAAAGUUAUUUUUGUGGCCCAAUAAACAAAGCUGUGGAAAACACUACUCUGGACCACCUUCUCGAGAUAAAAAAGGAAAGCUUUUGGCGACAAACACCCUUAAUAAUUAUGAAACCAUCAGGUAACCAAUUCACUUCUCCACAAUAGUUUGUGUGGAGCUCUAAUGAAAAACCAAUCUCCAUGUAUAUGGUUGCCUAAUAGGUUGCUGCAUUUAGCAGUUUGGACCUAAUCAUAGGCCUAUAUAUGUGUGUCAACUCAUGGAUACUUAUUACUUUAAGUAAUGGGUACCAAAAAGAAACCCGACUAAUUUUUUACUCAAGUUUUUUGAUCCUUAAGGAUAAGUUAUAUAUUUUUUAUGAGUAAUUUAUAUUAUAAUCAAGGGAUACCCCUCAUUCACAAAGGCAAAAUAGAAGUAUAAAACUCCUGCGUCACAACUCAAGCUUUAAAAGAUACCAUAAUACUUGAAAGGAAAAUAGAAGUAAACCACAAGAACAUUUCCUUCAAUGUAUGCCCUAAACUUAUUGCAUGAACAACCAUAAAAAUACCCUCUGUUUACAUGGACGACUCAGGUAUCGGGUGCGGGGUGGGGCAGGUGCGGGUGUGAUUCCAAUCGUCACACCUUCCUGAUGUUAAGAUAUCGGAAUAUAUUUUCAAAAAUUGGGUAUGGGUACAAUGAAACGUGGUUCUGACAACAAUUUUUGUUGGCAUAAGGUAUAAAAUUCUUUGAUAACAAGGUGUAUAUUAUUUAGAGUUGCAUUUGAAAUCAAAUGAGAUUAAGGAAAACUAUGCAAUUACUACUGCCCAUUCUUGCAAUUUCUCGCCAAUGUGAAGUUCUUUUUCUUAAAAAGUUAAAAUAUCACCUCUAUCCAUGUGAUGUCCAUCGGACAUGGGUAUGUGAGGGAUGUAACACUGCAUGAUACUACAUCACUCCAUUUCGUGUCCUGCCACUAAUUAUUGAUAGCUUUCCUCCCCCAUUUUCUCCGUGGUUGCCUGAAUUUUUCUCCCGUCCCCAAUAUAGACUUCAUUUUUUCACUUCAAUUGUUUUUGUGAGCUUCAAAAUCUCAUUCUCAAUUUCGUUAGGAAUCCUGGGAAAUUUGACCAGACUAUUAAUCCUCUUCAAAACCUCUGAUCACCCACAUUUGAAAGCAAAUUGACGUCUUUGAUACUUAUGGUAUGCUGGUCAAUGUUUUUCCUUUCUUAUAUGAUGAACUCCUUUUGUUAAUCUGAUUUUCUUAACAACUCCAGCUUAAGAUUGGACAAGCCGAUUUUAUGACCUCUUCUCCUGGUGUCUUACCUACACCCCUCAUCGAGAGUUUGUACAAGGGGUAGGGUAUGGAGUCAAAGAGAGUAUCCUGAGUCUUAGCUACACCCCUCCAUCUACUGGGUUGAGAGCUUUCCGUGGUGAUUUUUGUGCUUCCAGCUCUCUCUUAUGCAAGACCGAGCUUCUCCCAAGGGAUAUCGGAUCCUCUCCUUUCAUCUUCAGUUAGGAGUGUUGCUUAGUUAUUUCUUGGUUUAGUAUUGAGGAUGUCACAGUUUAGGCUCUGGGUUUCUGGUGUGUGUGUAUGGAUUAGGCCUACGGUGUGUGGCCCAUCUUCUUGGUGUGAGUUGGUUAUCAUGGUCUUCCAUUUUGAAAUUUGAUUUUCUCUACACCCCGUUUAUGGGGAUAUUGGGUUUUAAAUGAAUGAUUACAUUUAGUCAAGGUAUACAUCGAAGUGAGGAUGUCUUUAAAUGGUUUUAUGCAAGAUUAAUACUCUCAGAUAUAUGGUGUGAAGAUCCAUUCUUGGCCCUGAUUCUUGUGAUCUGGGUUUGGGUGUGGGUUCUUACUGCUUGAUUCUCGACCACUGGUGGUUACAGCCAUGGUCAAUUGGCGAUGGUGGUUUUGUACUCAUUAAAAGUAGACCUUCCGACCAUCAUCAAUUGUCGGAGUGGUCGGGAUUCGGGAAAAGGAGCUAUUGGUGAUUCGAGAGAAAUUGAGAUCUGUUGGUUCAUGAUAAAACUGUUUCCAUGUCCAUAUCCCCCCUUAAAUUGCCCCAUCAAUGCUGAAUGCACGAACUCGCUUCUCUCCCCCUUCGUGCUCGAUUAUGCUGGAGUUUGGGGUUCUGAGUUGUUUUUUGUCCGGGUUUUGUAACCAGAAUCUUCCCUGGAGGAGAACACCUUCAGAACCUUGCUGGAAAUUAGGUUUCAUUUC